UAUGUAUAUAAGCUUUGGAAUUUUAGGCAGUGUCGUGUGUGGUGUCGAAUGCAAGUGCGGACGCAUGGCAACAAAAUGACGAGUGAAUUUGGUCUUAGCCUCUUAGGGCUGUAACAUCAAAGUGACACAGCAGGCCUGUGAGUGCCAUUUGUAUAAUGCGUGAGACAUGCAUGCAUAUGAACAAAGGUAGAGUAGAAAGGCGGGAAAAGUGGGAUCGGAUGUCGCAUAUGAACAAAGGUAUGCAUACCUUCCAUCCGCCAGGUGUAUCGUACUAUCGGUCGGCCGGCCGGCCGUGAUUCAGAUCUCAAUUAUACUACAUGCAUGCACCCUACUGCUUCUACUUCUACUUCUACUAUAGUUGGUAUAUUGUUUCCUCCUAUUAGUCGGGUGCUCCAAAUUUAUGGGCCUCACGAUUGAAAUCGGACGGCACAGAGUCAUCCUUAACCUCCAGCUGCUGGCUUGUUCACCAUCUCCCUCAAAUCAACAGGUCCAUCCCAUGUACCACCGGCCGACCCGCCCUCCCCUCAUUGCCAUACUCCAAACCU
rnacentral:lncRNA from 1 species